rnacentral:rRNA from 1 species
UACGGAGGGAGCUAGCGUUGUUCGGAAUUACUGGGCGUAAAGCGCACGUAGGCGGCUAUUCAAGUCGGGGGUGAAAGCCCGGGGCUCAACCCCGGAACUGCCCUCGAAACUAGGUAGCUAGAAUCUCGGAGAGGCGAGUGGAAUUCCGAGUGUAGAGGUGAAAUUCGUAGAUAUUCGGAAGAACACCAGUGGCGAAGGCGACUCGCUGGACAAGUAUUGACGCUGAGGUGCGAAAGCGUGGGGAGCAAACAGG